GAUAUGUGUUGUCAAUUGAAUUUCUAGUUGUUCCAAAACAAUAUUUCAUCAUGCAUUUAGAGAACUUGUCAGGAAAAUUGAAAUGGUUAGCAUGUAUAGAUCUUCACAAUCCUUUCACUUAAGACAAUUUUCUUGGGAGCUGUUGGAAAAUGAUUUCAUUCCUUUUUUUGCCUUUCUGUGCAUAAGCCUUUGAUUUCGUUAUUGGUUUGCCAUUUAGAAACUGGGUCUAUGCAUAAACCUAGAUGGUGUACUGCCAAAAGUUUUGUAGAAACUGCCCACAGGCAUUUUGAAGUUUCCUUUGUGAGCAUUGGUUGAACAGUCGAGCAGGAUAGACUUGUGAAACAGAUUGUCAGUUAAGAAUAGGCCUUCCUAGAGGUGGCACGUUUGAACAGAUUAAAAAUUUUUUCCCCUCUCAUUAAGAAACCAAAACUACUACAACAUUAAGAGGUCAUUUAAAGUUAUAUCUAUCAUUCUAUUAUAUUUCAUGUAGCAUUCAGUAAAAAAACUCAUUUUGGUUUCCAUAGUAAUUAUUAUGUAAUGUGUAUGAAAUGAUAAUAGGAUUUCAAACAGUGAAUCACACACAUUUAUAACCAAUGCUUAUCGGUAACUUGACUUCUUGCAAUAACCCUUGUGGAUGGAUUGGUUGGGAGGAUUUUAUUUUUUAUUUAUCAUCCUGAAACACCAUUGUCGCAGUGCAUGUUAUUGAAGUUUCA
rnacentral:misc_RNA from 1 species